AAGUAACGCGUUACAGUAACUACGUUAUUAUUGUGAUCAGCGUGCUCUGUCCAGAAGAGGCAGCAGCUCAGGAGCAGUCGGGACAGGUGACAGAGUGUCUGAAGAUCAAACUGGAAGACUGUAAGAUGCUUAUCACACAUUUGAUGUCCAUGUGUGACGACUGCAAGUGUCCAGAGUGAGGACAGAAUGAGGGACCCACUGCUGCACAUCAUCUGUGAGGCUUUGCAGCCCUGAUGAUCCACCAGGACAAACUCGGCAGUGUGUGAGGAAGAGGAGGAGGAAGAGCCAGCAGCAGCUGACAG
ensembl:lncRNA